rnacentral:rRNA from 1 species
GUGGGGAAUAUUGGACAAUGGGCGAAAGCCUGAUCCAGCCAUGCCGCGUGUGUGAAGAAGGUCUUCGGAUUGUAAAGCACUUUAAGUUGGGAGGAAGGGCAGUAAGUUAAUACCUUGCUGUUUUGACGUUACCGACAGAAUAAGCACCGGCUAACUUCGUGCCAGCAGCCGCGGUAAUACGAAGGGUGCAAGCGUUAAUCGGAAUUACUGGGCGUAAAGCGCGCGUAGGUGGUUUUGUAAGUUGGAGGUGAAAUCCCCGGGCUCAACCUGGGAACUGCCUCCAAAAAUGCAUGACUAGAGUACGGUAGAGGGUAGUGGAAUUUCCUGUGUAGCGGUGAAAUGCGUAGAUAUAGGAAGGAACGCCAGUGGCGAAGGCGACUACCUGGACUGAUACUGACACUGAGGUGCGAAAGCGUGGGGAGCAAACAGGAUUAGAUACCCGAGUAGUCC